rnacentral:rRNA from 1 species
GGCUAGGUGGUCUGUGAGGACGAUCACCCACACUGGGACUGAGACACUGCCCAGACUCCUACGGGAGGCUGCAGUCGAGGAUCAUUGUCAAUGCGCGAAAGCGUGAACAUGCGACGCUGCGUGGAGGAUGACAGCCUUCGGGUUGUAAACUCCUGUCAUUCGGGAAAAAUGGUCCUGUCCCUAAUAUGGGCGGGAUUUGAUGGUACCGGAAGAGGAAGCCACGGCUAACUCUGUGCCAGCAGCCGCGGUAAUACAGAGGUGGCGAGCGUUGUUCGGAUUUACUGGGCGUAAAGGGUGCGUAGGUGGCUUUGUGUGUUGGAUGUGAAAUCCCACGGCUCAACUGUGGAAUUGCAUUCGAAACUGCAGGGCUAGAGUGCAGGAGGGGAGCGGAAUUCUAGGUGUAGCGGUGAAAUGCGUUGAUAUCUAGAAGAACACCGGUGGCGAAGGCGGCUCUCUGGAAUGUUACUGACACUGAGGCACGAAAGCUGGGGGAGCAAACAGGAUUAGAUACCCUGGUAGUCCCAGCCGUAAACGGUGCACACUUGGUGUAGGGGGUAUUGACCCCCCCUGUGCCGGAGCUAACGCGUUAAGUGUGCCGCCUGGGGAGUACGGCCGCAAGGCUAAAACUCAAAGAAAUUGACGGGGGCCCGCACAAGCGGAGGAGCAUGUGGCUUAAUUCGAUGCAACGCGAAGAACCUUACCAGGGCUUGACAUGCAGCUGCUUCCUCCCUGAAAGGGGAGGGUCCUUCGAGGGUGCUGCACAGGUGCUGCAUGGCUGUCGUCAGUUCGUGCCGUGAGGUGUUGGGUUAAGUCCCGCAACGAACGCAACCCUUGUGUUUAGUUGCCACCGGAGGUGAUGAGCCUUCGAGCACUCUAGACAGACUGCCCGUACAAGCGGGAGGAAGGUGGGGAUGACGUCAAGUCAGUAUGGCCCUUACGCCCUGGGCUGCACACGUGCUACAAUGGCUGGUACAGAAGGAUGCAAUACCGCGAGGUGGAGCGAAUCCCGAAAGCCAGCCCCAGUUCGGAUUGGAGUCUGCAACUCGACUCCAUGAAGUUGGAUUCGCUAGUAACGGCGUAUCAGCUACGACGCCGUGAAUACGUUCCCGGGCCUUGUACACACCGCCCGUCACAUCAUGAAAGCCGUCUGGACCCGAAGUCGCUGAGCUAACCCGCAAGGGAGGCAGGUGCCGAAGGUCUGGGUGGUGAUUGGGAU